rnacentral:lncRNA from 1 species
GUAAGGCAUCACACCAAAUUUCCCUGGGGGGUGUGCGCUCCAAGAUCCGGGCCAUUCAAGGAGGAAAGAUUUCAUCGCACGUGAUGGAACAACUUUAAGUUCCAGUUUUACUCAUGGGAAGUGUUCUUGGGCAGCAUUUCCCGCUGCCGUGGAAGGGAAUAUGUGCCAUCUCAGAACACAGUUGGCAUCAGGGAGUUUGUGAGCUGUGCUCCCUGCUGCCGAGGGACUCCGCAGAUGCCGCCUGAUCUCCGCUUGGGCGUAAAAUUCCAGUUUAUCAGCACUAGAGCUACGGAAAGCCUCCUUCUGAGGGAGCUGGGCUGGAGAGGUGGGCGCCUUCCCUGCUCUUCACGAGGCAAACGGGCGGGCGGAGCAAGUCUGAUUGGGGAAAAUUGGUUCCGAGGUGAAUGCCGCCGGCAGUACGCAAGUGCAACGUGACCGCAAUUUCUUUCAGCAAGAAUGAUGCAAAUAGAGAGGAGACCAGACAGAAGAGCUGAGAGAUGCUGGGGCUCCGAUUAGCCUGAAGAGUCAAAAAAGGCUUCUGUGGUCUCUGGUAAUGGAAGCCCCUGGCCGAGAAGGAAGACAGCCUGUGGGAUGGGGUUCUUAUCUCUUCUGAACCACCGAAUCUUCUGCCUAUGGGCCCUUUUUAAAUUGAUGAAACAAAAUACAGAAGAUUGGAAAGGAAACCAAUUAUGCUGAAAUUCAGCUGUCGAAACAGCAAAACGUUUGUGAUACUGUAGUACAGAUGUGUGCUUCUUUACUAACACAUGAAAUAUUUUGAGAUAUCUGCAACAACGCUAAAGGAAAAAAAAUGUCUACGGGGACAAAGUCACGGGUACUGUGACUACAUUGCUGUGUCAUUUGCUGUCUGCCGCCGCCAUAGGAGGAAAUGCUACAUCCUAGCUAGAGGAGGGAACAUAGACUUAUUUCUCUCUCUGUUAAACCGCAGUUAACGUGUAAGUCUACCGCUUGGCUCUCGGGACCUCGACGUAUUAUACCCCAGGUCCAGGAAACUCCUCUGUAAGGAAAUGAUCUGUUGAAGGAUCUCUCUGGCUGUCGAGUGAAGAAUAGAGCACGGAUGGGGAGCAGUGGACCCAGGGAGACGGCGGGGAGAUGAUCGUGGCUGGCAACAAGGAGGUGGCAUUUAACGCUGGACUUGCCACUCCAUUAGGAAAGAAAGUCCUCAAGAGCACUCUGAGGAAUCCAGUCUGAGCAACUAGAAGAAAGGCGCUGCCAUCUGCUGAGAAGGGAGUCUGAGGCAGGAGGAGGCAGGUCCGGGUGGAC